GCCUGGAGAGCUCAGUUGGUUAGAGCAUGGUGCUGAUCCCGCCAAGGUUGCAGUUUUGAUCCCCUUAUGGGGCA